UACGUAGGGUGCGAGCGUUGUCCGGAAUUAUUGGGCGUAAAGAGCUCGUAGGCGGUUUGUUGUGUCUAUCGUGAAAACCUGCGGCUUAACUGUGGGCUUGCGGUGGAUACGGGCAGACUUGAGUUCGGUAGGGGAGACUGGAAUUCCUGGUGUAGCGGUGAAAUGCGCAGAUAUCAGGAGGAACACCGGUGGCGAAGGCGGGUCUCUGGGCCGAUACUGACGCUGAGGAGCGAAAGCGUGGGGAGCGAACAGG
rnacentral:rRNA from 1 species